UCAGGGCUGGCCUGUUUGAUCUGGGGGAAGAAUAGAGACUCUGAAGUGGACCCCAUCAGGUGUGGUGGUACACACUGUGCAUAAAGUAUAUGAACUCCCUGGUCAUUCAUGUGCCCCCAAGUCACUCCUAAAGUGGCAAUGUGUCUAAAAAGGAGGGCACCUCCUCCAGAAUGUAUUACAUCAAUCAGAGAAGAGGGGAACACACUUCCUCUUGUAUGGGUGAUAUGCCAGAAGCGCCAUUUUUUAUUCUAUCCUGUAAGUACCCAUCUCUUCAAUGAGGAGCCCUCUGGUUAACAAGCCCAAGGGGUCCUAUAUUCAUGACCCAAGGCAAAAUGGGAAGCUGGCUGUGCAGGAUCAUCAACUCAGGCCUUGGGAGGGCCUCCAUUACAAAAGGCUGUUGUUGCCUUCUUGGCAUCUCUAACUGUGCGGCACUGGAUGAGGAGAAUGCUUUCUGGUAGAAGGAUGCCUUGGGCAAUUCAUGUCCACUGUGGGAGAUUUGGAGACUCUUAGAUGCAUAACAGGAGGCUGGCAAAGCCUUUUUAGGAAAGGGGUAUGUGGAGGGAGACGCUAAAGAAUUGACUUAUUUUGACAAAUUCUGGAGCUCAAGGUCAAUCACUUUAAGUAUUGUUGAAUAAGAAAGCAGAUCUGAUAUAUAUGGAAUGUUCCUGGUUGCUGUGGCUGAUGGAAUGUGCCCAUGACAAGGGUUCUACCACUGCUCCUGUGACCCUCUCAGCUCACAGGCCCCUGGCAUUGUCUCAUGGAAAUUUUCCACAGUGGUCCAUGGAUUUCUAAAUUUCCGAUAGCAGGCACAAGUAUGCUUGAGUUGGGAAAUGAAGAGCUGGAAAUGGUCUAUGGACAAUAAUGGAAAGACAAUGCUGAUGACAUGAAUGAGGAUGUCCCCAGACAGAUGGCACCUAAGAGACACAUUUUGUUUCAUAACUACAGUAUUUCUACAGAUGUGCCCACAGAACCUGAUUUAAACUCAAAGAGUCUGAGGCCCCCUCACUUCACUGCUGUUAUGAGUAUGAGCUGAGGGCAGGUGCAGCCCUAGGGGGUGUUUCCUCAAUUAAGACAGGGUUGCAAGAAAGGCCUGUUGAAGACUAAAUUCUUCUUUUUAACACUUCAAUUCUUCCAAAGAAGGAUCCCACAGGCUAGAAAGAAGUGUUGAAUGCAUAAAAAUCAAGGUACAUGAGCGUUUAAUAUCCUCCUAACAUAUGAAGGGAGAUCACAGUGGACUUGCACAGAUGUCAGUCUACUCAGAGAAUACACUCGGGAUGAGCUAGAACAGUGCAGAUGAAGGCACUGUCUCUCUAAAUGGGAGGAACUCCAUGGUUUACUGGGGCAUACGUUGCACACUCAGUCUAUACAGCAGGAACAUGAAAAUGCUAAAGACAACAACUUUUAAA